CAGCUCCGAGUCAUCUGGAAUAAUUCCUUCUGAAUUUAAACAAAUUACACUUUAACCUCUGGAUUUUAAUAAUUGCAAAAGCUGCAGGGGAAGGAGUAAAAGCAAAAAUAUAAAAUCACUUUGCAUUUAUUAUGAAUUUACCAACAAUAAACCCGCACAAACCUCCCCUAAAAAACAACCCCAAUCCCUUUUUUUUUCCUCCCCAGAUUUAGCAAAAUAAUUAGAGAUGGAAUUAGCACAGCUCCAAUAACAACAUUUUUAUUUCUGUGUUUUUCACCAGCACUAAAAUUAUUCUGAUUUUGGGAGGAUGGAGCUUGGAUUUAAACACACACCUUGAGCAGCAGGGAACGUUCCUGAGGUCAGCCCUGUUUGCUGAGAAAGGAUUUCAGCCUCCUUUGCUGGCACGGAGCUCCAAAGGAAGGGAAAGUGCCCCAGGAAAGUUGUUUUGGAUAAAUCCAAUCAAAAUGUGCUGGGGGAAAAGCAAACUCCACAAAAGCUGGGAUUUGCAUCCCCCAGCUUUCCCUGUCCCUGGGCAUCAGAGUUUUCAGAGAUCUCCU
rnacentral:lncRNA from 12 species